CGGCCUUCCCGCAGGUGACUUGUCCCAUCGCCCCGGCCGCGGGCGGACAGCGGCCGCCACUCACCUCGCCGGGCAGCAGGAACCAUUUUCCGAAGGAGUAAAGGAAAAGGAGCCUACAGGAGGGUCGAGGUUAGGGACACUAGAAUGUGAGAAGAAUGACCUGUGUGAUCUGAGCAUUGGCGGUUUCUGGAGCCACAGUCACAGAGUUUUCAAUUGAGUCUGUUUGCAGUGAAGCCAGCAGAUAGAUAUUUUUGACAGCCCUUUUAGUGCUCACUCUGGGAUCUCUCAACCACCAAGUAAGAACCUGACUGCCUUGUGACUGCCACGCUAGAGAGGUCAUGUGUAGGCACUCUGGUCAUCAGGUCCAGCUAAGCCUAGUCUUCGAUCAUCUCUGUCAAGGAGUCAAAAAUGUUAAGUAAAGCUCCAGACUGGCCUGCUUAUCAGCUGAAUAGAAUGGAAGAUCCUCCAAUUGCCAGAAGAAUCUUCCUGCUGAACCCUGCACUAAUCCCUGACCCACAAUAUGAUGGGAUAUAAUAAAAUGCUUGUUGU